rnacentral:tRNA from 1 species
GCACUGGUGACUCAGUGGUAGAAUUCUCCCUUUGCAUGUGGGAGACCCAGGCUCCAUUCCUGGCCAACGCA